rnacentral:piRNA from 1 species
UGACCCUGGGCUUGAAUCUUAAGAGCU